UCAAAAGUGAUGAUAGGGAAAAGUAAACGGUAUGAUUUUUUCAGGGAGGAAGCGUCAUAGACUGAAAGCGCUUCUAAACGAUCGGCUGUUGAAAGUUCACCCUUGAACUGCCGGGCUGAAACCUUUUGGUAAGUAGGCUGGGACGGAGACUUCCACCGUUACAGGGAAGGGGGUAUAAGGAAUAUGAUGUUCCCGUACCUGCUGAAAGAGGAGUCUGAGGACUCAAUUAGGGUGGUACCGCGAAAAACACUUUUCGUCCCUUCA
rnacentral:ncRNA from 1 species